UUGACAGGUGGUGGAACAAAUAUGAGUUUGUAUAUUAGUCAACCAAAAUAAAACUCAUAUUGGUUCUAUCUCCUGUUGAAGCCUACGUUAAUCUAAAUAAGACUUCCCCAUAUUCACCUAACCACACACACACGUAUAUUCCGAUUAUAUUCCUAUGUGUGAUAUAUAAUACUAAUGCCCCAUGUAUUUCUUUUUAAAGAUGAAUGUAGCAACAAAUGUACAAAAAUCAUUUUAACCGGCUUAUACAUUUGACAUAAAGCCCGAAACAUCUCUAUAAUAUUUUAACUACGCAUACACCUCUUAGAAAAAACUAAACCAUAAAGAUCUAUACUAAAAAAUGUCUGAAUAUAUAUGUUUUAAAAAUUCAUGUUCCAGUGCGUUUCUAUGCGUUCCUAAAAAAUUUCAGAUCCAAAAGAGUCCUGAAAUAUGAUACGGAAUUAGUCUGUUUCCUUGAACAAAAAGAUUUUAGAGUAUAUGUAAGCCUAAUUCGAUAAAGGUAAAAAAGUAUUCAACGAACAAAAUACUAUGCAGAAUAAGACUUUAGUGGACAGUAUAUAUGUUCUGUCCAAACAAUACAAUCUAAUGAGAAAAUUCGUAAAGGAGUUUAUGUCUAUUCUAAACAUAUGUCAACUUCUGAAGUAACCGUACACAAAGUACAUAAACUUUUACAAUGCAAGCAUUUAACUUGGAGCUGGACUAGUAUAUAUUAGUAUUCAAAGCACUUAUCAAUAGGAUAUAGAUUCAUUAAAUAGUAAAAAUUGAAAAUCGGAUAACUCUGAUACUAGCCAGCGUAAGUCUGACGUUGAAAACUUGCAGUAAAUUCAGACAUAUUCCAACUAUUUGACGUAAUCGUUUUAAAAUAAUGGAUAGGAUUGGUCCAAAAAUCUAAAUCAUAUUCGAACUGAAAAAAUCGAAUCUGUAUCUAAUAUUUUUUUUUUGUCACUGAAAUCUGUAUCUAAUAUAAAUUGUAAAAAUAUCCAAAAAAUUUGGUAGGUGUUAUGAUAUCAUAUUUGGAAUUCUAAUAUAAAGUGUGAACAAAAUAGUAGCCGCUCCACAGUCAUACUCUUCUAAAUUUAUCCAUUGAAUUCAACUUCAUAAUACACAGAUUGAAUUCAAACUAGAUAGAGGAAAAAUAAAACAAAAAGGUCAAAUAGAUUUUCCCUAGAUUUUAUAGAUAUGAUGCAAUCAUUUUUUUUUCUCACACUUUGGAAGAAUCCUAGUUUUUGAUUUGAGGGUUUAUUGAGUGUAGCUUGCGAUUUCAAUCUUUUUGAAUAAACAUGCUGUCGUUUAUUUCUUUUUCAAUGAAACAUGAUAUUUUAUUUUAACGGGAGCCGUUCACUACAAAGAUUACGAAGGAACUAAAACAUUAACAAGAGUAAAAUUAAAGAUAUAUUUUGCAAAAUUUUUAGUCGAUGAAUUAUUUUACAUUUUAUCUUUGUCGAGGAGUUUAUUUACCAAACAUGUUGACAACAUUUUUUUUACUAAAAGACCUAUAUAUCUGAAUUUGAACAGAAUCCAGUAAGUCGAUGUCAAAAAUUAGAAAAUUUGUUAUAUCCGAUCUGAACUAGUAUGUGAAAUGGUUUUGAGAAAUUGUGCCAUUUUAAAAGUGUUUUGUCUCUUUUGAACCAAACCCUCUCCCGAUUCUUGCGCCGUCCUCCUUUUUUCUUCAGAUCUGAGGUCUUUUUUUCCGGUCGGUGCUCCUCGCCGUGCUGCGAGAGGACCUCCACUAACUCUUGUAUCUUGCUUUAGUUUGUUUCUAGUCUUUUGAGUCUCGUUGGUGAUGGUUAGCGAUGGAGCGUUUCUUCGACGGCUACAGCGUUUGGAAUGGUCGAGCGGUGAAAGGGUGGUGAUGGUAGAUUCUCGGUGAGGUCGGCUUCGGUGUCAUGGAGUUAUCUCUCCGCCUGUAAGUGAUGGUGAAGCUGAUUGUAGAUCUGAGGGGUAUGAGUCUAGUUCGAUGGUGUCGUCUUGCAGUCAUUUGGAGGAUCUCUGUUGUCUGCUACUCACGGUCUGUGUUUGUGGAGUCCGUAUCUUGCUAAUGUUAUGCGUCCGGUGAAAGCGUCAUGAGAGUUUCGGUUGGUAAGACUUCAUCUCGCGGUGUUCUGGUUGGGCUUCUAUCCUGGAGUAAGUGGACGUUUAUGAUUGCGUCCCAUCUGUAUCUGAAGGUUAUGUGGAUCGAGCAACGGUAGUUGUUCUCCUCUGUCGGGUUGUGAAGUCUCAGGUUCUUGGUUCUUGGACGUUAUCGUUUGGCUUGCAUAGGUAGCAUCGAUAAGUCGUUGGGUGGGUGUUAGAAGUGGAGGUUAUCGUCUGGCGAGCUAUGAGCAGCAGCAGCGGUAAAUCCCGAUCAAUCGACCUGUGUUUUCUUUUUCAGUUUGCUGAGUUAUUUUGGUUCAGGCAUAAUGUGUAGUAUUUCAUCGUUUCUCUUGGUCUGGUUGCGGUUUUAGUUCUAAUGCUUUGUUUUCGUAAGUCACUCCGGUGUGAGUUUUAGUUGCUGCCUUCAUGUGGACUCUUGGUUUUGGGGCUAUUUCUGUUUGCCGCCAGCUUAUGUAUCAAACUCGUAUUUCACU